CCAGAAGCAGCCCUAACCAGGCCCUCCCUGAGUUCUGGGGAGGUGAGUUCCCAGAGAAAAGGGCUCCAUUCAAGGGUGUGAUAAACAACUAUUUGCUCAAGAGAUUAGGCAUACAACUCACGG
rnacentral:sRNA from 1 species